CGUCCGCGCCGGCGGACCGGGCCUGACCGCGCCCGGCCGGAACGUCCGGCGGGAAAACGAUCCGGGUCCGGGUCCGGUUCCGGGUCCGAUCGCGGACGG
rnacentral:tRNA from 1 species